GUGUCUGCAGGAGCGGGUGGGAUUGGUCGAGUGUCUGCAGGAGCGGGUGGGAUUGGUCAAGAGUGUCUGCAGGAGCGGGUGGGAUUGGUCAAGAGUGUCUGCAGGAGCGGGUGGGAUUGGUCAAGAGUGUCUGCAGGAGCGGGUGGGAUUGGUCAAGAGUGUCUGCAGGAGCGGGUGGGAUUGGUCAGAAUUCCUUUGGGAGCUGGCUGUCUUGGUCAAGAGUAUCUGAUGGAGCAGAAGAGAUUGGUCAGAAUUCCUUUAGAAGUGGGGGAGAUGGGUCAGACUUCCAUCAGGAACAGGUGGGAUUAAAAACACCUCUCAGCCACCAGGACGUCCGUAGUCAUCUCGCAUAUCCUUGUUAAAUGAAAAUUCUAUCGUUAAUUAGGAAGCGCUUGCACCAUUAAUGAUUCAAGUCACAAAGUAAUUGCACGCUGUAACUCUAUAUCCGCUGUAAUAUGUCACCUUGUGCAGGCUGAGCAGGUAAUGCACUAAAAUAUUCACGUUCAGUAGAAUAGUGAGGUUUGCAUUUGCAGCACAAAGGCCAUGGACUGUUUAACUAAAUUGUUUCAUCAAGAUGAUAAGCAGCAGGAGUUGUGAAGUGUACGGCUGUAGUACGCCAGCGAGUACUGGAGUUGUGAAGUGUACGGCUGUAGUACGCCAGCGAGUACUGGAGUUGUGAAGUGUACGGCUGUAGUACGCCAGCGAGUACUGGAGUUGUGAAGUGUACGGCUGUAGUACGCCAGCGAGUACUGGAGUUGUGAAGUGUACGGCUGUAGUACGCCAGCGAGUACUGGAGUUGUGAAGUGUACGGCUGUAGUACGCCAGCGAGUACUGGAGUUGUGAAGUGUACGGCUGUAGUACGCCAGCGAGUACUGGAGUUGUGAAGUGUACGGCUGUAGUACGCCAGCGAGUACUGGAGUUGUGAAGUGUACGGCUGUAGUACGCCAGCGAGUACUGGAGUUGUGAAGUGUACGGCUGUAGUACGCCAGCGAGUACUGGAGUUGUGAAGUGUACGGCUGUAGUACGCCAGCGAGUACUGGAGUUGUGAAGUGUACGGCUGUAGUACGCCAGCGAGUACUGGAGUUGUGAAGUGUACGGCUGUAGUACGCCAGCGAGUACUGGAGUUGUGAAGUGUACGGCUGUAGUACGCCAGCGAGUACUGGAGUUGUGAAGUGUACGGCUGUAGUACACCAGCGAGUACUGGUUGCGUUAUCAUUAGUGCGGUCAUCUGUAAGUGUGUGUAGGUGUGAACUAGACAAAACUGAAUUUUUACAUGGCUGAAAGCCUGAAUGGACAAAAGUUCUGGCUGUUUAUUGGAAAAGGAAAGGAGAACAAAGCACUUGCCGAGUGUAGGUGUGUUAAGAGCACAGCUGGCCCGGAGAUCAGCUGAUCGUGUGUGUGUGUGUGUGUGUGUGUGUGUGUGUGUGUGCACGUGUGCACCCACAUUGACAGUUUGUUUUGCUGACAACUCAGGCAACAAGUACCAGAACUGCUGUUGACACAAAGAGAUGUUUCCAGCCUGUCAUGGUGCCAAGACCUCAGAUCAUUGUGUGUGUGUGUGUGUGUGUGUGUGUGUGUGUGUGAGAGAGACACGCACACACACACACACGCACACACACACACACACACACACACACACACACACACACACAGUAUAUCUGGAUGUGUAACAAAGCACUUUCAGUGUUUGUCAGAGACAUGGUGACUCCUUAGGUUUGUGCUCACAUACACAAUAAUCAGUGUGUAAAUACAUUUGCAAGUUAGAGAAUAGAUGAAAUGUGUAUGAGGAAGAUAGAGAGAGAACCACGUUGCCUUCAGUGGAACUGAGAAUCCCCAAGGCCUUUUUUUUAUUAACUGAAACGGAGUUGCAGAAACCAUGGCUCCUUGUUUAGGACUGACCUUUUAUUUAUUUAUUUAUUUAUUUUUUUUUGGCCUUUAAAAGGGCUCUAGUACUGACAGGCACACAGGCCACACCUGUUUUAUAAGGAAGCACAUGGGGUCGUGACGGCUUCUCUUUACCGAGUUGACUGAGGUUCUUUCUUUUCCUGUAACACACAUCCUGGAGCAUUUGAUUCCUCUUAAACCAAACAACUCCAGCCAUUUAUUUAGUUAAGACUUGUUUAUCCUUUUAUAGUUCAAAUUUUUUAAUGUUCCUCGAAACCAGAUCGGUCCUGUUAACACUUACGUUAUAACAGCUAUAAACGGUUCUUCCCCUCACUGAUCUCUCUCUUUUUUUUUUCCUUCUCUCUUGAAGCUAAAAGGCAAUAAGAAUCAACGUAAUCGUAUUUUUACUCGCGCGUCCACCAUUCAAGUCUCUGUCCCUAUAGUAAAUUGUUACUAUGCAAACAAUGUUGUAUUAUAUGUGUAAUAAUGUAAACCUGUGAUUUGUCUUGCAGUCAGAACUACUGUAAGAGCUGCUGUCGUAGAAAACGAACACCUUCUGACCAAUCAGAAUCAGGCAUUCAACAACGCAGUGCUAUAAGACACACGAUUAACCCUUAUGUCACUUAUGGUGACUUUUCAUGAAGCGAAAUAAGCGGAGUUAUUUCUUCUUACUUCUUUUAAGUUAUAAGAAGCAAACUUUUAGUCAGUGCAAGCGCACGCAGCUUUUCAUUUCUCGUCUUUCAUUCUCCGGAACGCCUCCGUCGUUUAUCAGAGAGAUACGUAGAUACGUACCUAAUCAUCUCCCCCUCGUUUUUCUCUCUCAAAUGGAAUUUUUUUUUUUUUGCUGUUCUGAUCAUUACCGUGUCUUCUUCCAGACUGGGCUGAAUAACGACAGGCGUGUGGGCGGCGUGAGAGCCGUUUAGCCUCUCCGUGACCUGCUCGGUGCUGUGACAGUAGAUAUGAAAGGUGAGAGUUUUGGGGUCUAGCAAGAAGAGUAGUGCUCUUAAAGGGGAGCGAAUGAGUUCUGGAGAGAUUAGUCAGGUUUGGAUUAUUGGGCUUUUCUGAGGCUACGUAUUUCAGAAAGUAAUCUCCAUAUUUAUUCUGCUAGACGGAUGACUCGGCUCUUCACAGUUAUCUGUUUGUCUGAAUGGCCGUCUGUCUCUCAACCUGCCAACACCGUCACACCCAGUAUGGCAGUGUGUUAUUGAAGGUCUGUCCUUUGAUUCUGGAUGUGUACAAGCCCCAAAUGUACAACGAUUCUUUUCACCAGUCUUCACCCGCAGGUCUCUUUGGGUCUCUCGGCCUGUAGGAACUGAAUCCUGACUCUUUAUACCACGUGCUGCUGAAUUCUUGAGUCUGAACAUGUCGAUUCAUUUUCUACAACAGUAGUGCCACUGUUAUCGUUAUCGUUUCUAUGGUAACUUGCCCAGGGACUUGCCACAUAAACAGAAUUUCUUUAAAAACACUGCACUGACAGAAGCCGAGCAACGCCACCAAUCACCAACCUUUAGAAGGUUGGGAAACACGACACCAGCAAACCUUUUUUUUACCAUUCGGACCAAAUGGUUGAAAAAUGGAUGAUCAUUUUAACGCAAUCAAAAUACUGUUGUUUGUCUUUACGUGUCGUUCUUCACCUGAAAAGAUGAAGAGUGAAGCGAAAGAGGUUGUGGGUGAAGCCUUGGUUGGUUGUUUGACCCCCAAGCUGUUUCAACAACUCAGAGAAAGACAUUUUAAGGGAUCAGUUUGGUUUUUGGCGAGUCUCCAUGGAAACACCGUUACAGCCAGCAUGACUAAGCAUCAGCAACCCCCCAAAAACCAGCAGUUGAUGAUGAACUGAUGCAGAAGCAGCCACCAGACUGGAACUGAUCAAAUCGUGCCCUCUGAUCCCGCAGCUGCAUUUACUGUCAGAGACCCUCAAUUCAGCUCAGAGCAGAUUUCUUCAAUAGCAACCAGGCAGAUUAAGGUAUGUCUAAACGACGAUGAUGCACCUCACAUGGCUGUCUGUAGAGAAGAAUGAAAUACUCUUUUGUUUUGUUUUGCACGACUGCACCGGGUUAGCUUUCUUGGCCCAGUGACCCACGAGUUGAUCACAUUAACAAGCCGGAUACAACAUUGACGUCAGCUGUUUAGCUCCUGUCUGGCAUCGAAGGUGAACAAGGUCAGACUGUAGUUAGUGAAGAGGAGUGUUUCUACCAGGAAUCAACUGAACAUCAUGAGAACAUUUUUGAAAGAUUGUAAAGAAUGCUGCCAGCAUUUUUUCCCCAAACUAAUCCUCCACAUCUGUGGUGUACGUGUGAUUAUCACAGACAAGAAUUUCCAUGUAUUGAGAAGGGAGUAAAAAAAACCCCCAACCCAUUUAUUAAAAUAUAUUUGAGUAAAGAGUACACGUGUGUGCCAACAACGUUCUUUUUGUCUUUUAGUACAAAGAAACUGAAAGAAUUGCACUCCAUUGUACUCGCACACGCAUUAUUGAGAUGAAUAUAAAAGGCACUGGAACAUUCCCCAAACGCUCAAUUUCAAGUUUUCCCUUUCAUCCAUAUUCAAAAAUUUCCCUUUGGGGUUUUUAUAAACAGUUUAAUUCACAUUACACCACAACAUGGUGCUGAAUUCUAGAUUCUGAUUGGUCAAAGGGUGUUGAUUAAGUUUCUAUAACGGAAGCCCGGACAAUAGUGCUGGCUAUAAGUCAAUAAUAGUAAUGCUCUCGUUCUAAUAGGUUAUCGGUUCUGUAGUAACGGCUCAUUCACAGGGACUGGGACCGACGCGCCACGAUAAUCCAAUUUUAAACGGAUUCAAAAAACAUUUUGUAAUCCAACAAGGAAAAACGCACAGUCAUUGAUAUGGUGAAGAUUUCUCUGAGGAUGUUUAUUUAACGUGUGUGGAAGGAGUCUCCAGUGUCAGUGCUUUUGUAACGGUCAGCAAGAUUCCCACCACGGGAAAGUCUUCAGGACAGAGGAAUUUACGCUUUCGGUUUCUUUGUAACAGACAAAAAUAACAAGAGUGAGGGAACGACUGUUGUUAAAUGCUAGAAUGCUGAAAAAAACUUGUCUUAUGGAUGUUCC